rnacentral:rRNA from 1 species
GACAGAGGGUGCAAACGUUGUUCGGAAUUACUGGGCGUAAAGCGCGUGUAGGCUGCUCGGAAAGUCGGAUGUGAAAGCCCUGGCUCGACCCAGGAAGUGCACUCGAAACUCCCGAGCUGGAGUCCCGGAGAGGAAGGCGGAAUUCCAGGUGUAGCGGUGAAAUGGCGUAGAUAUCAGGAGGAACACCGGUGGCGAAGGCGGGUCUCUGGGCCGUAACUGACGCUGAGGAGCGAAAGCAUGGGGAGCGAACAGG